GGCGGGCCGGGCCCCUCUGGCGUUUCGACACCCCUGGUCGAACGUGAUGUCGGACCGCAUCG
rnacentral:ncRNA from 1 species